UGCCUACUGAGCUGAUAUCA
rnacentral:miRNA from 1 species